rnacentral:lncRNA from 1 species
ACACACACACAUUCAGCUACCCCGACAUGCUGACAUCUCUCCAGGAGAGAAACUCACGCUCUCUCACCAGAACUCAGAGUCUUCCUAAUAUUACCAGGAGAUCUGGAAGCCCUCAAAAAGGAAACCAUUGUGUUAAAGGAAGGUUCUGAAUAUAGAGUCAAAAUUCACUUCAAAGUGAACAGGGAUAUUGUGUCAGGCCUGAAAUACGUUCAGCACACCUACAGGACUGGGGUGAAAGUGGAUAAAGCAACAUUUAUGGUUGGCAGCUAUGGACCUCGGCCUGAGGAGUAUGAGUUCCUCACUCCAGUUGAGGAGGCUCCCAAGGGCAUGCUGGCGCGAGGCACGUACCACAACAAGUCCUUCUUCACCGACGAUGACAAGCAAGACCACCUCAGCUGGGAGUGGAACCUGUCGAUUAAGAAGGAGUGGACAGAAUGAAUGCAUCCACCCCUUUCCCCACCCUUGCCACCUGGAAGAAUUCUCUCAGGCGUGUUCAGCACCCUGUCCCUCCUCCCUGUCCACAGCUGGGUCCCUCUUCAACACUGCCACAUUUCCUUAUUGAUGCAUCUUUUCCCACCCUGUCACUCAAC